rnacentral:sRNA from 1 species
UAGUGCUGGAGAAAUUCAAGUCCUCUGUUUAUCCACAGAAAAAGUAGGCAGACCGCAACAGUUUAAGAUUUUCCCCACAUACUGCCUCACAAAUGCAUUCUAAUCCUGUUCAGGAUGGACCACCUCUAGGGAAGAGAAAGUCAAUCCAGGACCACUGUCACUGGGUCCU